UUAUCAGUGUUGUCCGAGUCCAAAAUAAAUAAGUAAAAACUUUCAACAACGGAUCUCUUGGUUCCAGCAUCGAUGAAGAACGCAGCGAAAUGCGAUAAGUAAUGUGAAUUGCAGAAUUCAGUGAAUCAUCGAAUCUUUGAACGCACAUUGCGCC
rnacentral:rRNA from 1 species